rnacentral:lncRNA from 1 species
UAAGAAACCACAGAUGCCAGGAGAGACUACUAUAUCCAACAAAACUUUUAAUCACCAUAGAUGGAGAAAACCAGAUAUUCCAUGACAAAAUCAAAUUUAAAUGAUAACAAUCCAUAAAUCCAGCACUAAAGAAAGUGCUAGAUCUCCAACCUAAGGAAGUUAACUAUACCCAAGAAAUCACACGGAAAAAAAAAAAAAGAAAAGAAAAAAGAAAACACACGGUAAAUAAUUUCAUACCUACAAAAUCAAAAGAACAAACACAUAAUACCACCAAUAACAGCAAAACAAUAGACAUUAACAAUCAACCAUUGGUCAUUAAUAUCUCUCAAUAUCAAUGGGUUCAAUUCCUCAAUACAAAGAUACAGACUAAAAAUGGAUGCAAAACCAGCAUCCAUUGCUGCAUACAAGGAAUACACCUCAACAGCAAAGAUAGACAUUACCUCAGAGUAAAGGGUUGAAAACAGAUUUCCUAACUGAAUGGACAGAAGAAGCUAGCUGGUGUAUAAAUUAUAAUAUCUAACAAAAUAGACUUCCAAUCAAAAUUAAUCAGAAGAGAUAGAGGAAGGCAUUUCAUACUUACCAAAGUAAAAAUCUACCAAGAUGACAUUUCAGUUCUUAACAUCUAUCCCCCAAACACAUGGCACCC